rnacentral:piRNA from 1 species
CAAACUGUUAACCGAGGAUUCAGAGAAU